rnacentral:rRNA from 1 species
GGGCAACCUGCCUGUAAGGCUGGGAUAACUCCGGGAAACCGGUGCUAAUACCAGAUACAAUCAAAGACCGCCUGGUCUUUGAUGGAAAGGUCUUGUACCGCUUACAGAUGGGCCCGCGGCGCAUUAGCUAGUUGGUGGGGUAACGGCCUACCAAGGCGACGAUGCGUAGCCGACCUGAGAGGGUGAUCGGCCACACUGGGACUGAGACACGGCCCAGACUCCUACGGGAGGCAGCAGUAGGGAAUCUUCCGCAAUGGACGAAAGUCUGACGGAGCAACGCCGCGUGAGUGAUGAAGGCCUUCGGGUCGUAAAACUCUGUUGUCAGGGAAGAACAUCCGGGAUAACCUCCCGUUCUGACGGUACCUGAUCAGAAAGCCCCGGCUAACUACGUGCCAGCAGCCGCGGUAAUACGUAGGGGGCAAGCGUUGUCCGGAAUUAUUGGGCGUAAAGCGCGCGCAGGCGGUUUCUUAAGUC